UUAGAGUUUGAUCCUGGCUCAGGACGAACGCUGGCGGCGUGCUUAACACAUGCAAGUUGUGCGAGAAAGUUACCUUCGGGUAACGAGUAAAGCAGCGAACGGGUGAGUAACGCGUGAGUAUCUACCUUUAAGACCGGGAUAACUUCCUGAAAGGGAAGCUAAUACCGGAUAAUCUCCUUUCGGAGCAAAGGCAGUUUUCUGUCACUUUUAGAUGAGCUCGCGUCCCAUUAGCUAGUUGGUGAGAUAACAGCUCACCAAGGCAACGAUGGGUAGCCGGCCUGAGAGGGCGAUCGGCCACACUGGGACUGAGACACGGCCCAGACUCCUAUGGGAGGCUGCAGUGGGGAAUCUUCCGCAAUGGGCGAAAGCCUGACGGAGCAACGCCGCGUGAGUGAUGAAGGCCUUCGGGUCGUAAAGCUCUGUCUUCAGGGACGAACCCCCUGGCUGUGCAAAUAGCCAGGCCUGACGGUACCUGAAGAGGAAGCCUCGGCUAAUUACGUGCCAGCAGCCGCGGUAAUACGUAAGAGGCAAGCGUUGUCCGGAAUCACUGGGCGUAAAGGGUGCGCAGGCGGUCUAGCAAGUCAGAGGUGAAAGCCACCAGCUUAACUGGUGAGGUGCCUUUGAAACUGUUAGACUUGAGGACAGGAGAGGAAAGUGGAAUUCCCGGUGUAGUGGUGAAAUACGUAGAGAUCGGGAAGAAUACCAAUGGUGAAAACAGCUUUCUGGCCUGUUCCUGACGCUGAGGUACGAAAGCUAGGGUAGCAAACGGGAUUAGAUACCCCGGUAGUCCUGGCUGUAAACGAUGGACACUGAGUGUUGGGGGUUAAACUCCUUCAGUGCUGCAGUUAACGCGUUAAGUGUCCCGCCUGGGGAUUACGACCGCAAGGUUGAAACUCAAAGGAAUUGACGGGGGCCCGCACAAGCGGCGGAGCAUGUGGUUUAAUUCGAUGCAACGCGAAGAACCUUACCAGGACUUGACAUCCCGUGACCGUCUAUGAAAGUAGACUUUGGCUCUUUGAGUCACACGGUGACAGGUGGUGCAUGGCUGUCGUCAGCUCGUGUCGUGAGAUGUUGGGUUAAGUCCCGCAACGAGCGUAACCCUUGUCCUUAGUUGCCAGCGAGUAGUGUCGGGGACUCUAAGGAGACUGCCGGGGGAGCAACCCGGAGGAAGGUGAGGACGACGUCAAGUCAUCAUGCCCCUUAUGUCCUGGGCUACACACGUGCUACAAUGGUCUGUACAGAGGGAGGCGAUACCGCGAGGUUGAGCUAAUCCCAGAAAGCAGAUCUCAGUUCGGAUUGCAGGUUGCAACUCGCUUGCAUGAAGCUGGAGUCGCUAGUAAUCGUGGAUCAGAACGCCACGGUGAAUCCGUUCCCGGGCCUUGUACACACCGCCCGUCACACCACCCGAGUUGGGGGCACCAGAAGUCACUUUUAGUGCCGAAGGUGCGCCUGAUAAGGGGGGUGAAGUCGUAACAAGGUAACCGUA
rnacentral:rRNA from 1 species